ACAAAUAUGAAUUGUGUGUUAGUGACUUCCAGGCAGAUGAAGGAUCAAAGCACUUACCUCGUGGAAGAAACCAAACCAAACCCAGCCCAACCCAACAGAAGCCAGAGAUUCCGGAAGACGGUGCAGAGGUCACACAGCCCAGGAGCCAUCCAUGCACAUGGGCUCAUGUGAAAACUGAGUCUGUUGACACUAAAUGUACAAAAAUUACUCUUUGACAUCCUUUGACACCAGCAUGUUAAGUGGUGGUCACUACUGCAGCUUGCCCUGAGGAAAGUGUACCCAUAAUUUCCUGGAGACGUUCAGCUGGAUGCUACUUGGUUUGCAGAAAGGGAGGUGACUGGAUUGUCUUUCUGGAAAGAAGGUGAAGGCAAUUGCUCAGGAGGUUUGGAUGUGGAAGGGCUGUGGUUCUCACACAUGCUGGACAGGAUGAAUGAAACCCCCAGCUGUUGGUGCACUUGCUGUUAGGGGUGAUGCAACACAAAAAUGUACACCUGCAGCUGAAGCAAAAAUAGUUAACCCCAUGUGCCUCAUUUCUGGCUCUCACUGACGUGGGACUGCAAUGCACUGCCAGGGAGGUGAAUUCCCACUGGGAGCCAUGGCUAGUUGCCAUGAGGGUAAUCAGCAGCAAAAGCAUUUCAGCUGGAUGGGCUCACACUUUUACCCCAGGACUAAGAUUUCCAGCUCUGAACCAAGGUCCAGGGCAACUCGAGGGGCAACAAGCAAUUAUUGCAAAAACCUGCUUUCCUGCUAUCUCAUCCUAAAGAUAUUGCUCCUGCCAGGGCGCAAGCUCUGGCCAGCUGCUUGAGUCUGAGGAGCAGUGAUAAGACUAAGACUUGAGGCUCACUGGAAGAUGCCGUUCAGCUAAAUGCUGUCUCUUGGUCUAUCUCAGACAGAUCUCUACAUCAAAGAUGUAGUGCCAACCUCAACAUCUGAAAUCAGCACUGAAAAGGACUGUGCAACCUUAUGUGGAUGCCUAUGCUGUUUCCAAAACCACGUGUCCCUGGCUGCUGUGUUUCUGUGAGGUAUGAAUGGGGAUCCAACGUCCAGCCCUACUGGAGUGUACCACAUCUAUGAAAAAGUUGUGCAAAAGGAAUGUACGAAGUGAAAUUGAAGCAAGGACCUCACUUCUGCAAAGAAAGUUUUAGGGUGAGGCUACCUAUGAAAGGGAAAUAGUUAUCUUCUGCAUAACUGCAUUUCAAUGUGGAGAUGAACAGCAAGACUUGGGAGUGAUACUCCCAUAUAACCUCGGUUUAGUCACAUUACUGCUUCCAUUGCCUUGCCAUUACAAAAUGCUCCAUGACAAACAGUCUGCAAAAGCAGUAAGCAGCUCUAGACUCCCCUCUGUAAGGGAAAGCUCUUGUGCAAAUAAGAAAUAAGCCAGAAUGAGUUAAAGAAAAAUGGGAGACUUGUAAUGGUGGCUUUGAGACAUGAGUAUACAAAGACUGUGCUAGCAGGUAGCAUGGAAAUGGCCACGUGUGCAAAUAACACGCUGCUUUGGUGAAUGAAAAAAGACUAAGGCGUCCCAGAAAUACUUGGAGACACUGGGGUGCUGCCAGGCUCCUGUAAGAACUUCCCAUUUCAUCUGAGUUCAUUAUAAAAAUCCUGUAGAAAGAGCUUUUCAGGUUCCCACAAGGUAGAUCAAAGGUCUCCAUUUUGUCAUCUUGACCUCAAAUCCCCCAUAAAAGGCCUUACAGAAGUUCUGCAGUAAUGAGCCUGAACUUAGCCCCCCUCCAUAAGCUCCAGCUUGGCUGCAGUCCAUUUCUUCAAAUUUCCACUCAACCUUCUGACCUCUUCUGUCUCUGCCUCUCAUAACAGAGGACUAUUUUGUCCUCUCAACUGGCUGAACCAAGCAAGAUGACUUUUAGAAUAAAUCUCCCACCAAAAUACUGAGAGAUGGCAUGGUCUCCCCUGCACAGUGAUGGUCUGGGAACACAUACUCCAUUUCUAACAGGUCAAAUGUUUCCAGCCACCACAGAAGACCUGCCAGGCAGCCUGGACAGACUGUUCAGCACAAGCAUGCACCAGGAGGGAAGAUGCCAAAUUAACUCCUCUCCUUCC